GGUUCAUUGAGCUCAUCAACGAUCGGAAAACUCCGGACUGUGACGGCAACAACGUUAAGUAAUUUCGCUAUUUGAUGCUCUAUUAUUCCGCCAGCACAUUCACAGAAGCAACUACUCGUGGGCAUUGGGCAAAUCCAAAUUAGACAUCAUUCCCUAUGACCAUUGAUCAUCUUUCAUCGCAUUCACAUAUCCUACAGUAUUCUUGUUUGCCACAGCUUUGUCAUUGCAUCAUUCGGCGACAUAUUUUUAAUUAAAUUGCGACAUAUAUGGCACAUGUCCGGCUGUCCAUCUGCUCUUAGUAGCCGGUCUUUUUCUACUCUGGUUCACUUAAAUGGCAUGUCACUCAGUUGCCGCGUUGUGAGUUUACAACGAAAACCCGACAUUGAUUCGACGAAUCCCGCAGCGGCUGUCAACGGCAUCGCAUCUCAUCUCAACUACUGAAACUUAUUUCUUCGGAUUAUGUUAAA